CCGCUGCCGAUGGACGUCGACGGACCGCCGCGUCGCCUCCGACGAACCGAGCGCUGUCAAGUGCCGGUGGGUAGCGGGCCGGUUCGAGCACCGGUAGACGAGUGCGAGAGGAGACUGGUGACUCAGCGGAGUCGGUGUGACUGGGUGGAGUCAUUAGUGACUCAGCGGAGUCAAAAGUGAGUGGGAUGAGUCACCAGUGAGUCGAUACGAGUCCCACGUGAGUCGCAAACGCCAGUGGGUGUCUCGGUGCGCCGGAGGGCCCGAGGAGGGGAUUGUUGGUGUGCGAGUCACCGCGUAUAGCGCUCGCGAACUUAUGGGAUGUAAUAAGUGCGGUCCGUUACCGUUUAUUUCUUGUGUACGCCGAGAGUGGUAAUUAGGUGUCAAUGUGACCAAACAAGAAAAGAAAUGAAGUUCGUUGGAUUUGCUGUGGCGCUCGGAUUGCUGUCAAGGAUUGCUUCUGGAUUCGACACUGCGAGCGAUGUUGGCUCGUUUUACGGCACCAGUCACGUGACGGCGGCGCUCCAGGAGGCGCGCAGCAGCACCUCGGUCAGUCUGCGGUUCCGCACGGGCCGCGGCGACGCCCUGCU